GGGUGCGAUAAUGCCAGCACUAAAUCACCGGAUCCCAUCAGAACUCCGAAGUUAAGCGUGCGUGGGCCAGAGUAGAACUAGGAUGGGUGACCCCGUGCGAAGUCCUCGUGUUGCACUCC
rnacentral:rRNA from 15 species